GUCUCCAUAGUUUAGAGGUUAUAACAUCUGACUGUUAAUCAGAAGGUCGGCAGUUCGAUCCUGCCUGGGGACG
rnacentral:tRNA from 1 species